UAAUAAAAACCUCCUCAGGCCUCCAACAUCCGUGUGGAAAGCAGAAGGAGGGAAAAGAAAUCCCUCCAGCGCCGACAUGAAUUUCAGGCUCAUUAGCAUUUAUGCAAAUGAGCUUCUAAUUGCAGGCGUAAUGACUCUGGCGUGGGAGAUUUUUCAAUCCGCCAUGUUUUUUUGUUACUGCAUGCUUUGCAGGAUGCAUUUGUAAAAACAAAAGCGGACCUUUUCUCUUAUUUUACAGGCGCUCAGCCGACAGGAAGCUUGAUGCGACGCGCGGGAAAAGCGCGGGACUUUUCUGUCGUCUUGUUUUACAGGCCGCGUUGAUCUGCGCACCGACAAAAAGCUUUUCCUCCUGCUGCUGCUGCUCAGCGGCGCACUGAAGCCCUGCAGCCCGGGAUGCUGCAGCGGAGUCCAGGUGGGAGGUCAGCACUUGGCCCAUGUUACUUCGCCUGCGGUGUGAGAGGAUGGGUGGCCUUAGGGGUUGGUUGUUAUCUUUGGUUAUCUAGCUGUAUGAGUGAUGUACAUUCUUCAUAAAGCUAGAUAACCGAAAGUAACAAGAAUCCCAUUACGCUCCUGAAAAGGCAUCAAGACCCCAAACGCGCCUCCCUCCAAAAGAAACACAAACACACUCCUGUUGUGCCACUGGAACUGCAGCGAGAGAGAGAGAAGACAAUGGCCGACGUUCAAAAGGAGACUGGAGCAGCAAAAGGCUACCACCAUCGCCGCCACGCCACUGAAGGAAAGCUGGCAAAAGGAGACUGAAAAACAGCGAAGAAGGAGGAGGAGGGGUUGCUGUUGAUUCUGCCCUCCCUCUCUCCUCGCCCUUCUCUGCAUCGCCUCGUCCCUCCUCCUCCCUUCCUCCUCCGCUCCAUCCUCAGCACACUGCCCCUUUUUCCUGUACAACGAAGACGCAGCCCGCGCCACCAUCUUAGAGUAACGCUGGCACGAAAUGGACGUGGGAAGACCAGUCAGUGCAGGCGAACGUCGUCGGUGCGGGAGCGCAGAUCCAAAAAGGCGGUGGGUGGAGCGACGGCAGGACUAAACCAGGACGAGAGCUGCUCAUGUGGAACGUCACUCGCGCUGCUGCGAGAUGCGUUAUGUGACGGGACUGGACGCCUCGCGGUGUUUUAGCAAACAUCACGGUGGGCGCAGAGAGGAGACCAGCAGCUUGGCUCACAUUUGUGACCCUUGUUUUGAGACUUUUGAGGGUCCAGCCCUCGAUUUUGUAUUUACUGCUGUCACGUAUUUGCAUAUAAACAAUGUUUCUACCUAACAUAGGCCUGACUUAAUGUUUGAUGAGAUGUAGCCCACCUUUAGUUUGAGUUCUAUUUGUUAUAGUUGCUAGGACUCAAAGACACGUGAAUGUGAGACCCACGGCAGCAGUGAAUAAUACUGCACUGCGAUUGGACAGCUCCGUGUGUCAGCUGACACAAUGGCGAAGGAGUGAGCUGUCGUCUUUAUACUCUAUGCAACUUUUUUUUCUUUUUUCGGUCAUUUAUUCUUGAAACCGUAUUUUCAGAGCCCCUUUUAAUCCUUACUCUGGAUUGAUUUUUUUUUUUUUUUGGGCUACCAGUUUAAAGACAUUCCUUCAGACAUGAUCACGAGUUGUUAAUAUACAGAAAUUACAGUGUGUG